GACGAACGCUGGCGGCGUGCUUAACACAUGCAAGUCGUACGGUAAGGCCCUUUCGGGGGUACACGAGUGGCGAACGGGUGCGUAACACGUGAGUAACCUGCCCACAACUUUGGGAUAACGCUAGGAAACUGGUGCUAAUACUGGAUAUGUGCUCCUGCUGCAUGGUGGUGGUUGGAAAGCUCCGGCGGUUGUGGAUGGACUCGCGGCCUAUCAGCUUGUUGGUGGGGUAGUGGCCUACCAAGGCGGCGACGGGUAGCCGGCCUGAGAGGGUGACCGGCCACAUUGGGACUGAGAUACGGCCCAGACUCCUACGGGAGGCAGCAGUGGGGAAUAUUGCACAAUGGGCGCAAGCCUGAUGCAGCAACGCCGCGUGCGGGAUGACGGCCUUCGGGUUGUAAACCGCUUUCAGCAGGGACGAAGCUUUUUGUGACGGUACCUGCAGAAGAAGCACCGGCUAACUACGUG
rnacentral:rRNA from 1 species